rnacentral:rRNA from 1 species
GUAGGGUCCGAGCGUUGUCCGGAAUUAUUGGGCGUAAAGGGCUUGUAGGCGGUCUGUUACGUCGGAAGUGAAAACUCAGGGCUUAACCCUGAGCCGGCUUCCGAUACGGGCAGACUAGAGGAAUGCAGGGGAGAAUGGAAUUCCUGGUGGAGCGGUGGAAUGCGCAGAUAUCAGGAGGAACACCGGUGGCGAAGGCGGUUCUCUGGGCAUUUCCUGACGCUGAGAAGCGAAAGCGUGGGGAGCAAACAGGCUUAGAUACCCUGGUAGUCCACGCCGUAAACGGUGGGCACUAGGUGUGGGGAACAUUCCACGUUCUCCGUGCCGAAGCUAACGCAUUAAGUGCCCCGCCUGGGGAGUACGGCCGCAAGGCUAAA